GACGAACGCUGGCGGCGUGCCUAAUACAUGCAAGUAGAACGCACAGUUUAUACCGUAGCUUGCUACACCAUAAACUGUGAGUUGCGAACGGGUGAGUAACGCGUAGGUAACCUGCCUGGUAGCGGGGGAUAACUAUUGGAAACGAUAGCUAAUACCGCAUAAUAUUGAUUAUUGCAUGAUAAUUGAUUGAAAGAUGCUAUUGCAUCACUACCAGAUGGACCUGCGUUGUAUUAGCUAGUAGGUGAGGUAACGGCUCACCUAGGCGACGAUACAUAGCCGACCUGAGAGGGUGAUCGGCCACACUGGGACUGAGACACGGCCCAGACUCCUACGGGAGGCAGCAGUAGGGAAUCUUCGGCAAUGGACGAAAGUCUGACCGAGCAACGCCGCGUGAGUGAAGAAGGUUUUCGGAUCGUAAAGCUCUGUUGUAAGAGAAGAACGGGUGCGAGAGUGGAAAGUUCACACUGUGACGGUAUCUUACCAGAAAGGGACGGCUAACUACGUG
rnacentral:rRNA from 1 species